AGUUUGAUCCUGGCUCAGGAUGAACGCUAGCGGCAGGCUUAACACAUGCAAGUCGAGGGGUAACAGGGAUUGCUUGCAAUCCGCUGACGACCGGCGCACGGGUGCGUAACGCGUAUGCAACCUACCUUCUACAGGGGGAUAGUCAAUAGAAAUGUUGAAUAAUACCCCAUACGAUCUUUGAAUAGCAUUAUUUAAAGAAGAAAGUUCCGGCGGUAGAAGAUGGGCAUGCGUCCUAUUAGUUAGUUGGAGAGGUAACGGCUCCCCAAGACAUCGAUAGGUAGGGGUCCUGAGAGGGAGACCCCCCACACUGGUACUGAGACACGGACCAGACUCCUACGGGAGGCAGCAGUGAGGAAUAUUGGACAAUGGAGGCAACUCUGAUCCAGCCAUGCCGCGUGCAGGAAGACUGCCCUAUGGGUUGUAAACUGCUUUUAUACAGGAAGAAAUGUACCUACGUGUAGGUAUUUGACGGUACUGUACGAAUAAGGAUCGGCUAACUCCGUGCCAGCAGCCGCGGUAAUA
rnacentral:rRNA from 1 species